AAAGAAAGCGUAAUAGCUCACUGGUCGAGUCGGCCUGCGCGGAAGAUGUAACGGGGCUAAACCAUGCACCGAAGCUGCGGCAGCGACGCUGAUGCGUUGUUGGGUAGGGGAGCGUUCUGUAAGCCUGUGAAGGUGUACUGUGAGGUAUGCUGGAGGUAUCAGAAGUGCGAAUGCUGACAUAAGUAACGAUAAAGCGGGUGAAAAGCCCGCUCGCCGGAAGACCAAGGGUUCCUGUCCAACGUUAAUCGGGGCAGGGUGAGUCGA
rnacentral:rRNA from 1 species